AUUAAACGCUGGCGGCAUGCCUUACACAUGCAAGUCGAACGGUAGCGCGGGGCAACCUGGCGACGAGUGGCGAACGGGUGAGUAAAGCAUCGGAACGUGCCCUGGAAUGGGGGAUAACGUAGCGAAAGUUACGCUAAUACCGCAUAUUCUGUGAGCAGGAAAGCAGGGGAUCGCAAGACCUUGCGUUCUGGGAGCGGCCGAUGUCGGAUUAGCUGGUUGGUGGGGUAAAAGCCUACCAAGGCGACGAUCCGUAGCGGGUCUGAGAGGAUGAUCCGCCACACUGGGACUGAGACACGGCCCAGACUCCUACGGGAGGCAGCAGUGGGGGAAUUUUGGACAAUGGGCGGAAGCCUGAUCCAGCCAUGCCGCGUGAGUGAAGAAGGCCUUCGGUUG
rnacentral:rRNA from 1 species